UAUCUUCGACAAGGAAACACUACUUAGGCUUUUAAGAUCCUGUUAGGGUUCUAGUUCUUAUACUCAAUCAUACACAUGACCUU
rnacentral:sRNA from 1 species